rnacentral:rRNA from 1 species
UACGUAGGGGGCAAGCGUUGUCCGGAUUUAUUGGGCGUAAAGAGCGUGUAGGCGGCCAGACAGGUCCGUUGUGAAAACUGGAGGCUCAACCUCCAGACGUCGAUGGAAACCGUCUGGCUAGAGUCCGGAAGAGGAGAGUGGAAUUCCUGGUGUAGCGGUGGAAAUGCGCAGAUAUCAGGAAGAACACCCGUGGCGAAAGCGGCUCUCUGGGACGGUACUGACGCUGAGACGCGAAAGCGUGGGGAGCGAACAGG